GAUGAACGCUGGCGGGCGUGCCUAACACAUGCAAGUCGAGCGGAGACCCAUGAAGUAGCAAUACGGAAAGGAUCUUAGCGGCGGACGGGUGAGUAACACGUGAGCAAUCUGCCUUCUGCAGGGGAAUAACAUUGUGAAAACAGUGCUAAUACCGCAUGACGUCCGACCGGGACAUCCCGGACGGAUCAAAGGAGUAAUCCGGCAGGAGAUGAGCUCGCGUCCGAUUAGCUAGUUGGUGAGGUAAAGGCCCACCAAGGCGACGAUCGGUAGCCGAACUGAGAGGUUGAUCGGCCACAUUGGGACUGAGACACGGCCCAGACUCCUACGGGAGGCAGCAGUGGGGAAUAUUGGGCAAUGGGCGCAAGCCUGACCCAGCAACGCCGCGUGAAGGAUGAAGGCCUUCGGGUUGUAAACUUCUUUGAUCAGGGACGAAAAGAAUGACGGUACCUGAGGAACAAGCCACGGCUAACUACGUG
rnacentral:rRNA from 1 species